UACGUAGGUGGCAAGCGUUAUCCGGAUUUAUUGGGCGUAAAGCGAGCGCAGGCGGUUGCUUAGGUCUGAUGUGAAAGCCUUCGGCUUAACCGAAGAAGUGCAUCGGAAACCGGGCGACUUGAGUGCAGAAGAGGACAGUGGAACUCCAUGUGUAGCGGUGGAAUGCGUAGAUAUCGAGAGGAACACUCGUGGCGAAGGCGGGUUCCUGGACAUUAACUGACGCUGAGGCACGAAGGCCAGGGGAGCGAAAGGG
rnacentral:rRNA from 1 species